rnacentral:lncRNA from 1 species
UGUAACAGACUUCACCUCGCUUUUAAAUCAAACCGUUGUUGCCUCUCUUCCCUCUCUCAACCCCCCUGAUCCCUAUACAAACUCUUUACCUUCUGACCCUCCCACUUUUUUGGCUACUAAGGAUCCUCCGCCCUUGGGUGAUCCUCCUUUAAACCUCUGAUGAGUGUAAAAUUCUUUUUUUGGAAUGUCCGAGGCAUUAAUCACCCGGACAAACAUAGGCCUUUUGUUAGCUGGCUUCAAAGCCACAAGCCUAUGUUCGGAGCAAUAUUAGAAUCUCAUAUUAAAGAACCUUUUCUGAUACCUCUUUUGUCAAAAAUCUGCCCUGGUUGGUCCUACUUCUCAAAUCACUUAUCUGAUCCUGAUGGGCGAAUAAUUCUCAUUUGGAAAGACCCUAUCAAAGUCACUGUUCUCUCGCAGUCUAGACAAUGCGUGACUUGUCUCCUCACUGUCCCAAAUAGCCCUCCUAUCUUCUAUUCAGCAGUCUAUGCUUCCAAUCUUGGGGCGGAGAGAAGUGAUUUGUGGGUUGAGCUUCUCAACACUGCUGUGAACUACAACUUGGACAGUAGCUGCUGGUUUGUUGGUGGGGAUUUCAACCAAACCCUUUUCCCUGCAGAGCACUCUAACAAUGAUGGAGCCGGGCCUGAUAGUCUAAUGUAUCAGUUGCAAGACUGUUUUCUGCAAGCAGGGUUAUUUGAUCUCCGUUAUCUUGGCCCCUCUCACACUUGGUCAAACAGCUGCCCUUCGAACCCAAUCACGAAAAAACUGGAUCGGCUUCUUGUAAACUGCAGCUCUAUCUCCACUUUCCCUCAUGCUACUGCUACUUUCCUUCCACCCUUAACCUCUGACCACGCCCCUUGUAUCCUAGACCUCGCCUACUCUCUUCCAACUGCUGGAACCAAACCAUUUAAAUUCCCCAACUACCUCACCCGUCAUCCCCACUUUCUCCAGCUCAUGCAAAGUACCUGGUUUCAAUCCGGAAUCGAGUGUCAAACAUUAACCCAACUAUGUUGGAAACUUAAGUUGAUCAAGAGAGAGUUGAAACAAAUAAAUAGAGAGAAUUUUUCAAACAUUCAGGAGAGAGUGAGCGAAGCUAACCGUUUGUUACAGUCUAUGCAGGUACAGGCGCUCACCUUCCCCACGCAAGAGAACUUUGAAGCAGAAAGAGAGCUCCAUCUUCGAUGGACGUUCCUGAGGAGUAUAGAGGAAAGCUAUUUCAUGCAAAAAUCGCGAAUCAACUGGUUGAAAGAGGGAGAUUUGAAUACGGCUUACUUUCAUCGUAUGUGCCAAGUAAGGGCCAGCUAUAACGCCAUUCGUGCCUUCAUGACUCUUUCUGGAGCUUGGAUAACAGACCCAAUGGAGAUGAGUUUUCAUGCCAUAUCACACUUUGGCGCAGUCCUUGCUCCGACUACUUUUUCUCCAUCAGCAAUCUUCUCACAUCCUGCCUGGUUCGCCGAACUGACAGGAUUUCAUGUCUCACAAAGCCAAGCUCUACUGAUGACAACUAUGCCCAUUCCUGAAGAAGUCAAGGCUCUUUUCUUCAAGCUAAAUCCAAAUAAAGCCCCGGGUCCUGAUGGACUAACCUCAGGUUUUUUCAAAGGGGCUUGGUCUGUCAUUGGCGCUGAAACAACAACUUCAAUCCUGCAGUUCUUCUCCUCUAGCUUCCUUCCGGCGUCUGCUAAUGCCACUAUCCUGUCCCUUGUACCAAAAUACCCUGGAGCAAGCAAGUUAUCGGAGUUCAGACCUAUAUCUUGUCUCAAUACAGUUUAUAAAGUCAUUUCUAGACUGCUGGUCCGGAGACUAAAGCCUAUCUUACCUCAUCUCAUUCUCCCAAGCCAAACAGCUUUUGUUAAGGGCCGCCUACUGUUGGAGAACACGACACUUGCUAGUGAGCUGAUCAAUGGCUAUCAUCGCAACAAAGGAACUAAGAAGAUUACCAUAAAAGUAGAUAUUGCAAAGGCCUUCGACACCAUCUCUUGGGAGUUCCUCUUCUCGUGCCUGAAUGGCUUGGGUUUCCCUUCGCUUUUCCUAUCCUGGUUGCGUGCCUGCAUAUGUACAACAAGCUUCAUGGUUGGUUACAAUGGAAUGGUAAAUGGCUAUUUCAAAGGCACAAGAGGGCUAAGACAGGGAGACCCUUUGUCUCCAUACCUUUUUGUAAUUGCAAUGAACUGUCUCUCUCACAUGCUUAACAAGGCAGCAGCAGACCAUAAGCUCAAAUUCCAUGCUAAAUGUGAAAAGGUCAAACUGACUCACUUGUCCUUUGCAGAUGAUCUUCUGAUUUUUAUUGAUGGCUCUGUUGAAACUGUCCAGCAAGUUCUUCAGGUCCUGCGGGAAUUCGAGAAUAGAUCAGGUCUCGCAGUGAGCCUCCAAAAGACAUCUUUCUUCGCCUCAGGAUUGGAGCAGACUGAAAUCGACACUAUCCAAGCUACUACAGGAAUGCUUUGUGGCUCGCUCCCGUUUCGGUAUCUCGGCGUCCCUCUCAACUCAAAGAAACUGUCCUUAGCUGGCUGUGAUACAUUGCUGCAACAGGUGAAAGCAAAGUUCAACUCCUGGUCAGUUAAGACCCUGUCUUUCUCUGGUCGCUUACUGCUCAUCAAAACGGUGAUCUCUGGAAUUACAACGUUUUGGUGCUCAUCCUUUGUCCUUCCCAAAGCCUGCAUCAACAAAAUCAACUCUCUGUGUAGUACUUUUCUUUGGAAAGGAGAUGUAGACUCGAGAAACUCGGCUAGGGUAGCAUGGGAAACGGUAACUCUAACGAAAGAACAAGGGGGAUUGGGAGUGAAAGACCUACUUACUUGGAAUAAGUCAUGUUGCAUGCGCUUAAUAUGGAUGAUCUUCUUUCGCCCUGACUCUGUCUGGGUAUCCUGGUUCAAAGAGGUCAUACUCAAAGGGUCAUCUCACAACUACUGGUCUACUAGACCGAGCUCUUCUUUUUCAUGGUUAGCAAACAAAUUGUUGAAGAUGAAAAAUGUAGUUUACCCAUUGAUUCGCUUGCAGUUACAGAAUGGAGCCACAGCAAGGUUUUGGUAUGAUAAUUGGAGUCCCUUUGGCUGCCUGCACGACUACCUUCAAGCCUCACUAUCUAGGUUUGGGAUCCCAUUGAAUGCAACUGUCGCUUCGUUACAUAGGAAUGGAGUUUGGUCCCUUCCCCCGGCGAGAUCGGAUCACCAACUACAACUGCUUUCAUACCUAACAACAAUACAACUGACAGACGAUCAAGAUACCUAUCUCUGGGAAAUGGAAGGAAAAAUCAUGGAAAGGUAUGAAACAGGGAAGGUUUAUCACUACCUCCGUGGACACAUACCAACGGUCCAGUGGGCUUCAGCAGUUUGGUCAUCUAAAGGCAUCCCAAGGCAGUCGUUUCACACUUG